GACGAAGGUGGCGAGCGUUGUUCGGAUUCAUUGGGCGUAAAGGGUGCGUAGGCGGCGCGGUAAGUCAGGGGUGAAAUCCUGGAGCUCAACUCCAGAACUGCCUUUGAUACUGAGGAUCUUGAGUUCGGGAGAGGUGAGUGGAACUGCGAGUGUAGAGGUGAAAUUCGUAGAUAUUCGCAAGAACACCAGUGGCGAAGGCGGCUCACUGGCCCGAUACUGACGC
rnacentral:rRNA from 1 species